GUCCCUAUAGCGCUUUUGAAUAGCGCGUUGGACUUCUCAUCCGAAGGUUGUGGGUUCAAAUCCCACUUGGGAUG